rnacentral:misc_RNA from 1 species
GAUGAAUGUAUUGUGUAAUAAAUAUAUUUUGUGUCUUAUUAGAUUAUUCAAGAAUGACUUAAAUCGUUCUAUAAUAUUUGCCUUGCUUGCAUCAGAGUUUAUGGAGCUGUGCCUGUAAACUGGAGCAAUCAUUUAGAUGUGACCAUAACCAUUGGCAUUGUAGUAGAUAGAUCAUUAUGGUCAUUUAGACAUAGGUGUCUGACUUUACUAAUAUUAGGUCCACCCAUUCCUUGUAGUUGGAGGUAGUACCACAACAUCUAGAAAGACCUUCACAAAUUAAACACAAUUCAUGUGCAUAUCUGCCCAUGUGCAUGUGUAUGUAUUACUUUCUUUUUGGUUAAGGCCCAAGGGGAAAAAAAUUUUCGGCUUUAUAAUCUCUGCAGUUCUUGGACGAAGUAUUUGGCAAAUGGAUGCUAGUUUGUUAGAAUAGUACCCUACCACAGUGGUAAGUUUGCAUUGAAGUGUGGGCAGCAGCAUUUAAUUGCCCACCUCAGCCUCUCUCUUUAUCCUACCUCCACUUUCCAUUGGUUGAUCAUUGUCAUUGCAAAAUCUAUGUUUGACUUGUAUAAGUGGGUAUAAUAUUAUGUAAAUCCACAAACAGUGCUUAAAUCGAUAAAAGAUGUGGCUACAAACACACAAGAAAUGCUUCUGUGUUAAUGUGUGAGAUACCAAAGUGUCUCUUGGAAAUGCACUUCUAAUGUGAUGUACUUGUAAAGGGCGAUUCGUUUCCUCAAAGUAAUAAUGCAAUGAAUGUUUCUUGUAAACAGGAAUCGCUUUUACAUUAUGAGUA